CUUGAGCCUUUAAUAACUAUGUUUGCCAUGGAUUCUAUAUUGAAUUAUCUGGUUCAUUUUUUUGCCCAUGUAAUAUAGUUUCAUUGCCUGCAUUCAAGCAAUCUGGAUCUCAAGUGAUUGCAAGAGGGUUGAUCUAUUAGUGAUGUGCCUUUUGACAGUAGCCGCUACACUUAAAUGCUUGCACCCCUAGGUAUUAUGCUGAUAUGCUGUAACCAUUGUUCCUGCAGAGACGUGUUCUCAUACUUUUGCCCCCGCAUUGAUGGGAAUCUAAUCUUCUGCCAUUAAUUCCCUUUCCUGUUCUUCUGAUCUCCUGUUACACUUGUUAUAUAAAAUCUGGUUGGUUGCCAAAUGCAAAACAUCUCCUAAUUUUAAUGGUUAAGAAAGUUGAAAAAUCUUGCUUAGAAGUUAUAUAGUGCAUUCGUCCUGUCAAAUUUUCAGAAUAUAUUUCUAAGUGGUGUUCCCAUCAGUAAUAUCUCUUUUGAAGAUAUGUAAAUGUUUUUUUGGCUUACAUUGUUUUACCACUUACUAUUUUUUUGUUUUUAUUUUCAUGCACUUCUUUAUGAGGACUGCUGUGAUAUGAUGGCUACAGUUCUAAACUCUGCAUAUUUGUACAGAGGAUCACAAUUAAAGAAAUCAGGAACGAUCCAUGGUUUAUGAAGAAUUUGCCUAGGGAACUGACAGAGGCUGCUCAAGCCAUGUACUACAGGAGAGGAAAUAAUACCUUUUCCUUGCAAACUGAUGAAGAAAUCAUGAAGAUUGUGGAAGAGGCCAAAAUUCCUCCUCCAGUAUCUCGAUCUAUUGCUGCCUUUGGUUGGGGAGGAGAAGAAGAUGGUGAUGGGAAGGAAGAUGACACGGAGGCUGAAGAAGAAGAAGAGGAAGAUGAGUAUGAUAAGAGAGUUAAGGAGGCACAAGCAAGUGGAGAGUUUCAUGUCAGUUAAGGAUUAAUUUGCCCUUUAUCGGAUACCUGCAAUCUAAAGUUUUGGUUUUUGGAUAUCUAUAGGAUGCUACUGUGAUUGUUUAAAGCUUUGUUCUAAGGACAUGGUCUUGAAUAAAUGUUUGUAAAUUAUAGCGUAUUGGGCAGAAAGAGUGUGAUUCCAACUUAUGUGAGAAUUAGAUUGUCUGCUUAUUGAAAAUUUGGAAUUUUGAAGAUUUGAAAGAUAACUAUCAGAGUGUUCUGUUUUAUCUUUUUCCUUCUGAGGGUUAAGAUAGUGUCAUAAAUUAAGGGCAUUGUAUGGUCCAGGUUUUGAUUGAAGAAAAUCUUAUCAUCUGUAGUGUACAUUGUAUUGAGGGUCUGUCAGUUGAAGAACUUUAACAUGUAUUAGUGUAAUUUCUCUGUUUCGCUUCUUGUGCUGGGCUUUGAAUCAAUCACUUAUUUUACUUUAUAUAUUGAAGUAUCAUCUCACACAGCCAUU
rnacentral:misc_RNA from 1 species